GAUGGACGUCGACCGGCGCACGGGUGAGUAACGCGUAUCCAACCUGCCCACCACUUGGGGGAUAACCUUGCGAAAGUAAGACUAAUACCCAAUGAUAUCUCUAGAAGACAUCUGAAAGAGAUUAAAGAUUUAUCGGUGAUGGAUGGGGAUGCGUCUGAUUAGCUUGUUGGCGGGGUAACGGCCCACCAAGGCUACGAUCAGUAGGGGUUCUGAGAGGAAGGUCCCCCACAUUGGAACUGAGACACGGUCCAAACUCCUACGGGAGGCAGCAGUGAGGAAUAUUGGUCAAUGGGCGAGAGCCUGAACCAGCCAAGUAGCGUGCAGGAUGACGGCCCUAUGGGUUGUAAACUGCUUUUAUAAGGGAAUAAAGUUAGUCUCGUGAGACUUUUUGCAUGUACCUUAUGAAUAAGGACCGGCUAAUUCCGUGCCAGCAGCCGCGGUAAUACGGAAGGUCCGGGCGUUAUCCGGAUUUAUUGGGUUUAAAGGGAGCGUAGGCCGGAGAUUAAGCGUGUUGUGAAAUGUAGACGCUCAACGUCUGCACUGCAGCGCGAACUGGUUUCCUUGAGUACGCACAAAGUGGGCGGAAUUCGUGGUGUAGCGGUGAAAUGCUUAGAUAUCACGAAGAACUCCGAUUGCGAAGGCAGCUCACUGGAGCGCAACUGACGCUGAAGCUCGAAAGUG
rnacentral:rRNA from 1 species